rnacentral:rRNA from 1 species
UACGUAGGGGGCUAGCGUUGUCCGGAUUUAUUGGGCGUAAAGAGCGUGUAGGCGGCCAGGGAGGUCCGUUGUGAAAACUCGAGGCUCAACCUCGAGACGCCGAUGGAAACCCCCUGGCUAGAGUCCGGAAGAGGAGAAUGGAAUUCCUGGUGUAGCGGUGAAAUGCGCAGAUAUCAGGAGGAACACCGAUGGCGAAGGCAGGUCUCUGGGCAUUAACUGACGCUGAGGAGCGAAAGCAUGGGGAGCGAACAGG